rnacentral:misc_RNA from 1 species
UCUCCGUAGGUGAACCUGCGGAGGGAUCAUUACAGAGUUCUCGCCUUCACGGGUAGAUCUCCCACCCAAUGUUAUCGUUACCACUAUUUCUUUGGCGGGCCGCCGGGCCCUGCUCGGCCGCCGGCUCCGGCUGGCGCGCGCCCGUCAGAGGCCCUUUAAACCCUGAAUGUCAGUGUCGUCUGAGUACUAUACAAUAGUUAAAACUUUCAACAACGGAUCUCUUGGUUCUG